CCUACGGGAGGCAGCAGUGAGGAAUAUUGGUCAAUGGACGAGAGCCUGAACCAGCCAAGUAGCGUGAAGGAUGACUGCCCUACGGGUUGUAAACUUCUUUUAUAAGGGAAUAAAGUGAUCCACGUGUGGCAUUUUGUAUGUACCAUAUGAAUAAGGAUCGGCUAACUCCGUGCCAGCAGCCGCGGUAAUACGGAGGAUCCGAGCGUUAUCCGGAUUUAUUGGGUUUAAAGGGAGCGUAGGUGGGUUGUUAAGUCAGUUGUGAAAGUUUGCGGCUCAACCGUAAAAUUGCAGUUGAUACUGGCAGUCUUGAGUACAGUAGAGGUAGGCGGAAUUCGUGGUGUAGCGGUGAAAUGCUUAGAUAUCACGAAGAACUCCGAUUGCGAAGGCAGCUCACUAAACUGCCACUGACACUGAUGCUCGAAAGUGUGGGUAUCAAACAGGAUUAGAUACCCGAGUAGUC
rnacentral:rRNA from 1 species